GGUUAAGCGACUAAGCGUACACGGUGGAUGCCCUGGCAGUCAGAGGCGAUGAAGGACGUGCUAAUCUGCGAUAAGCGUCGGUGAGGUGAUAUGAACCGUUAUAACCGGCGAUUUCCGAAUGGGGAAACCCAGUGUGUUUCGACACACUAUCAUUAACUGAAUCCAUAGGUUAAUGAGGCGAACCGGGGGAACUGAAACAUCUAAGUACCCCGAGGAAAAGAAAUCAACCGAGAUUCCCCCAGUAGCGGCGAGCGAACGGGGAGCAGCCCAGAGCCUGAAUCAGUGUGUGUGUUAGUGGAAGCGUCUGGAAAGGCGCGCGAUACAGGGUGACAGCCCCGUACACAAAAAUGCACAUACUGUGAGCUCGAUGAGUAGGGCGGGACACGUGGUAUCCUGUCUGAAUAUGGGGGGACCAUCCUCCAAGGCUAAAUACUCCUGACUGACCGAUAGUGAACCAGUACCGUGAGGGAAAGGCGAAAAGAACCCCGGCGAGGGGAGUGAAAAAGAACCUGAAACCGUGUACGUACAAGCAGUGGGAGCCUCUUAAUGGGGUGACUGCGUACCUUUUGUAUAAUGGGUCAGCGACUUAUAUUCUGUAGCAAGGUUAACCGAAUAGGGGAGCCGAAGGGAAACCGAGUCUUAACUGGGCGUUAAGUUGCAGGGUAUAGACCCGAAACCCGGUGAUCUAGCCAUGGGCAGGUUGAAGGUUGGGUAACACUAACUGGAGGACCGAACCGACUAAUGUUGAAAAAUUAGCGGAUGACUUGUGGCUGGGGGUGAAAGGCCAAUCAAACCGGGAGAUAGCUGGUUCUCCCCGAAAGCUAUUUAGGUAGCGCCUCGUGAAUUCAUCUCCGGGGGUAGAGCACUGUUUCGGCAAGGGGGUCAUCCCGACUUACCAACCCGAUGCAAACUGCGAAUACCGGAGAAUGUUAUCACGGGAGACACACGGCGGGUGCUAACGUCCGUCGUGAAGAGGGAAACAACCCAGACCGCCAGCUAAGGUCCCAAAGUCAUGGUUAAGUGGGAAACGAUGUGGGAAGGCCCAGACAGCCAGGAUGUUGGCUUAGAAGCAGCCAUCAUUUAAAGAAAGCGUAAUAGCUCACUGGUCGAGUCGGCCUGCGCGGAAGAUGUAACGGGGCUAAACCAUGCACCGAAGCUGCGGCAGCGACGCUUAUGCGUUGUUGGGUAGGGGAGCGUUCUGUAAGCCUGUGAAGGUGUACUGUGAGGUAUGCUGGAGGUAUCAGAAGUGCGAAUGCUGACAUAAGUAACGAUAAAGCGGGUGAAAAGCCCGCUCGCCGGAAGACCAAGGGUUCCUGUCCAACGUUAAUCGGGGCAGGGUGAGUCGACCCCUAAGGCGAGGCCGAAAGGCGUAGUCGAUGGGAAACAGGUUAAUAUUCCUGUACUUGGUGUUACUGCGAAGGGGGGACGGAGAAGGCUAUGUUGGCCGGGCGACGGUUGUCCCGGUUUAAGCGUGUAGGCUGGUUUUCCAGGCAAAUCCGGAAAACUAAGGCUGAGGCGUGAUGACGAGGCACUACGGUGCUGAAGCAACAAAUGCCCUGCUUCCAGGAAAAGCCUCUAAGCAUCAGGUAACAUCAAAUCGUACCCCAAACCGACACAGGUGGUCAGGUAGAGAAUACCAAGGCGCUUGAGAGAACUCGGGUGAAGGAACUAGGCAAAAUGGUGCCGUAACUUCGGGAGAAGGCACGCUGAUAUGUAGGUGAAGUCCCUCGCGGAUGGAGCUGAAAUCAGUCGAAGAUACCAGCUGGCUGCAACUGUUUAUUAAAAACACAGCACUGUGCAAACACGAAAGUGGACGUAUACGGUGUGACGCCUGCCCGGUGCCGGAAGGUUAAUUGAUGGGGUUAGCGGUAACGCGAAGCUCUUGAUCGAAGCCCCGGUAAACGGCGGCCGUAACUAUAACGGUCCUAAGGUAGCGAAAUUCCUUGUCGGGUAAGUUCCGACCUGCACGAAUGGCGUAAUGAUGGCCAGGCUGUCUCCACCCGAGACUCAGUGAAAUUGAACUCGCUGUGAAGAUGCAGUGUACCCGCGGCAAGACGGAAAGACCCCGUGAACCUUUACUAUAGCUUGACACUGAACAUUGAGCCUUGAUGUGUAGGAUAGGUGGGAGGCUUUGAAGUGUGGACGCCAGUCUGCAUGGAGCCGGCCUUGAAAUACCACCCUUUAAUGUUUGAUGUUCUAACGUUGGCCCCUGAUCGGGGUUGCGGACAGUGUCUGGUGGGUAGUUUGACUGGGGCGGUCUCCUCCUAAAGAGUAACGGAGGAGCACGAAGGUUGGCUAAUCCUGGUCGGACAUCAGGAGGUUAGUGCAAUGGCAUAAGCCAGCUUGACUGCGAGCGUGACGGCGCGAGCAGGUGCGAAAGCAGGUCAUAGUGAUCCGGUGGUUCUGAAUGGAAGGGCCAUCGCUCAACGGAUAAAAGGUACUCCGGGGAUAACAGGCUGAUACCGCCCAAGAGUUCAUAUCGACGGCGGUGUUUGGCACCUCGAUGUCGGCUCAUCACAUCCUGGGGCUGAAGUAGGUCCCAAGGGUAUGGCUGUUCGCCAUUUAAAGUGGUACGCGAGCUGGGUUUAGAACGUCGUGAGACAGUUCGGUCCCUAUCUGCCGUGGGCGCUGGAGAACUGAGGGGGGCUGCUCCUAGUACGAGAGGACCGGAGUGGACGCAUCACUGGUGUUCGGGUUGUCAUGCCAAUGGCACUGCCCGGUAGCUAAAUGCGGAAGAGAUAAGUGCUGAAAGCAUCUAAGCACGAAACUUGCCCCGAGAUGAGUUCUCCCUGACUCCUUGAGAGUCCUGAAGGAACGUUGAAGACGACGACGUUGAUAGGCCGGGUGUGUAAGCGCAGCGAUGCGUUGAGCUAACCGGUACUAAUGAACCGUGAGGCUUAACCUU
rnacentral:rRNA from 1 species